GACGUACGCUGGCGGCGUGCUUAACACAUGCAAGUCGAACGGAAAGGCCCUGCUUUUGUGGGGUGCUCGAGUGGCGAACGGGUGAGUAACACGUGAGUAACCUGCCCUUGACUUUGGGAUAACUUCAGGAAAAUGGGGCUAAUACCGGAUAGGAGCUCCUGCUGCAUGGUGGGGGUUGGAAAGUUUCGGCGGUUGGGGAUGGACUCGCGGCUUAUCAGCUUGUUGGUGGGGUAGUGGCUUACCAAGGCUUUGACGGGUAGCCGGCCUGAGAGGGUGACCGGCCACAUUGGGACUGAGAGACGGCCCAGACUCCUACGGGAGGCAGCAGUGGGGAAUAUUGCACAAUGGGCGGAAGCCUGAUGCAGCAACGCCGCGUGCGGGAUGACGGCCUUCGGGUUGUAAACCGCUUUCGCCUGUGACGAAGCGUGAGUGACGGUAAUGGGUAAAGAAGCACCGGCUAACUACGUG
rnacentral:rRNA from 1 species